CAGCAGCCGCGGGAAUACGUAGGGUGCGAGCGUUAAUCGGAAUUACUGGGCGUAAAGCGUGCGCAGGCGGUUGUGUAAGACAGGUGUGAAAUCCCCGGGCUUAACCUGGGAACUGCGCUUGUGACUGCACAGCUAGAGUAUGGCAGAGGGGGGUGGAAUUCCACGUGUAGCAGUGAAAUGCGUAGAGAUGUGGAGGAACACCGAUGGCGAAGGCAGCCCCCUGGGCCAAUACUGACGCUCAUGCAUGAAAGCGUGGGGAGCAAACAGGAUUAGAUACCCCCGUAGUCCCUGUCUCUUAUAC
rnacentral:rRNA from 1 species